GAGGGUAUAACUCGGGUAGAGUGUAUUCCUAGAAUGCAUGAGGUCCUGGGUUCAAUCCCCAGUACCUCCA
rnacentral:tRNA from 1 species